GCUAGCGUAUCUUAAUUUAAAGCAUAGCACUGAAGAUGCUAAGACGAGACCUAAGAAACUCCGCGUGCA
rnacentral:tRNA from 1 species